AUACCAAGCUGAAUAUACCGGUUCUCGUUAGAUCACCGAAGUCAAGCAUCAUUGAGCGCGGUCAGUACUUGUGUGGGUGACCACCUGGGAACACCGCGUGCCGUUG
rnacentral:rRNA from 1 species